UAAUUACUCCCUCCGUUCGGAAUUACUUGUCUCGGAAAUGGAUGUAUCUAGAACUAAAAUACAUCUAGAUACAUCCAUUUCUACGACAAGUAAUUCCGAACGGAGGGAGUACUUU
rnacentral:pre_miRNA from 1 species